UUUCAAAUUAUCUAAAUAUGGUUUUCUUUGUCUUUUUCUUUCAACUUUGUCGAAGUUUGUUUUUUCCUAAUUUGUGCAAUUACUAAUUAUAUGACUCUUGGAUAAGUUACUUUACCUUUAGAAAUCAAUUUUCUGAUUUUUACAAUGGAAUAACAAUAGUGGCUACUUUCUGGGUUGUUGUAAGGAUUGGAUUUUUUUAAAUGCACAUAGCACAUGCCUAGCAUAUAGUUAUGGAUCUGUAGUAAUAGAUGUUAGCUAUUUUUCUUCUUCUUCUUUUUUUUUUUUAUUUUUUUUGAGAUGGAGUUUCUCUCUUGUCUCCCAGGCUGGAAUGCAGUGGUGCGAUCUUGGCUCACUGCAAACUCUGCCUCCCAGGAGAAUCACUUGAACCCAGGAGGCAGAGGUUGCAGAGAGCUGAGAUCAUGCCAUUGCACGC
ensembl:lncRNA novel transcript, sense overlapping RAB30